AAGCGCUACCCAAAGACCCUAGCAGCCUUGCCACUCCUUGGAACCAGGAGACGGGAUUGAUGUAAAGGUCCACCAACCAAAGACUGCCUUGGCUCCAUGCUGGAAAGGCCCUUAAGUCCUGCUGACUACCAACACCGCUGUGAAGUGCCAAAGACUGACUGCUUGGACCCAAGAUUCUCACUGCAAAAAGACCCCUCCACAUCGGGAGAAUUCUCCUACUGAUGAUUAGCCUAUUUCACCUUCUAGCUCCACUGUGCCUUCUGGACAGUACUGAAAAAGUACAAUGAUGCUGCACCACGACUGUUUUGGGAAAGAAGAAGGAACACUCACUCCACUGAAAUUGCUAAAGUCCAGGAAUUCCUGACUAGAAAGGACAUUAAGAACUGACCCUGGUGAAGAAACAAAGAAUUGUACACUGGCAGAAAAAAUUUGUGGGACCCAUGCUUGGGAAUGU